AAUGAGGUAGUUUAAAUAAAAUGUAUAUUUUGCGUGUAUAAGAUAGGGGUUCUUCCUUGUUA
rnacentral:tRNA from 1 species